GACGAAGGUGGCAAGCGUUGCUCGGAAUCACUGGGCUUAAAGCGGGCGUAGGCGGCCCGGCAAGUCGGGUGUGAAAACCCUUGGCUCAACCAAGGAACGGCGCCCGAUACUACCGGGCUUGAGGUGCUGAAGGGCGACUGGAACUCUCGGUGGAGCGGUGAAAUGCGUAGAUAUCGAGAGGAACGCCAAUGGUGAAGACAGGUCGCUGGUGGCAUCCUGACGCUGAGGCCCGAAAGCCAGGGGAG
rnacentral:rRNA from 1 species